rnacentral:rRNA from 1 species
AUGGAUAUUUUAGGUUGUCUUGGUGAAAAAAAAUCAAGGCGAGUUACGAGUCAAGGAUGCACUUGCAAGUCAGGUAAAAAAAGGGGUUCGACCCAGUUGCAAGUUGACGGUGACUUUGCAACUAAGGCAAAAAAAUGGUUGGACCUAGUUACGAGUCGAUGGUGGACUUGCAACUGGGACAAAGAAAACUUUGGGCCUAGUUAUGAGUCAAGGGUGAACUUGCAACUGAGGCAAAAAAAUAGGAGACGAGCUUGGUUGCGAAUCGAGGAUAAACUUGCAACUAAGGCAAUAAAAGGGCCAGGUCAGAUGGAGCCAAGUUGCCAAUCGAUUGUGAACCUGCAACCGAGACAAAAACUUUCGGGUCAAUUUUGA